AUCGCUUCUCGGCCUUUUGGCUAAGAUCAAGUGUAAUUCUCUACUGAAAUAUUAAUUAUAGACAUUUAGUGUUUAUGUACAAUAACUCCAAUUUCUUGUUGCUUAUGCUGCUGCUGCUGCUAAGUCACUUCAGUCGUGUCCGACUCUGUGAGACCCCA
rnacentral:snRNA from 1 species